ACUACUUUGUUCUUCUUUUUCAAAAUUGUUUUGGCAAUUCUAGGUCCCUUGCAUUCCCAUGGGAAUUUUAGAAUCAGCUUGUCAAUUUCUGUGUGACAU